CGUAGGUGAACCUGCGGAAGGAUCAUUAUUGUAUAACCGAGGUGCGAGGGCUGUCGCUGACCCGAAAGGUCGUGCACGCCCGAGUGCCCUCACACACAUCCAUCUCACCCCUAUGUGCACCACCGCGUGGGUCCCCCUUUGGCUUGUUCGGAGGGGGGCUUACGUUUUCACACAAUCUUUGUAUGCAGUGUAGAAUGUAUUUUUUGUUUUUGCGAUCACGCAAUCAAUACAACUUUCAACAACGGAUCUCUUGGCUCUC
rnacentral:misc_RNA from 1 species